rnacentral:rRNA from 2 species
GUUACUAUAUAGUGAAUUCAUAGCUAUAUAGAGGUAGACGUGGGGAACUGAAACAUCUCAGUACCCACAGGAGCAGAAAGAAAUUUCGAUUCCCUAAGUAGCGGCGAGCGAACGGGGAACAGCCCAAACCAACGAGCUUGCUCGUUGGGGUUGUAGGACUGAACAUUUGAGUUACCAAAGUUGUUGAUAAUCGAACAAUCUGGGAAGGUUGGCGAAACAGGGUGAUAGCCCCGUAGGUGAAAUCAAUGACCCUCAGUUCAGGAUCCUGAGUACGGCGACACACGUGAAACGUCGUCGGAAUCCGGGAGGACCAUCUCCCAAGGCUAAAUACUCUCUAGUGACCGAU